GUCGAGCGGUAGAGAGGAGCUUGCUUCUCUUGAGAGCGGCGGACGGGUGAGUAAUGCCUAGGAAUCUGCCUAGUGGUGGGGGAUAACGUUCGGAAACGGACGCUAAUACCGCAUACGUCCUACGGGAGAAAGCGGGGGACCUUCGGGCCUCGCGCCAUUAGAUGAGCCUAGGUCGGAUUAGCUAGUUGGUGAGGUAACGGCUCACCAAGGCGACGAUCCGUAACUGGUCUGAGAGGAUGAUCAGUCACACUGGAACUGAGACACGGUCCAGACUCCUACGGGAGGCAGCAGUGGGGAAUAUUGGACAAUGGGCGAAAGCCUGAUCCAGCCAUGCCGCGUGUGUGAAGAAGGUCUUCGGAUUGUAAAGCACUUUAAGUUGGGAGGAAGGGUAGUAACUUAAUACGUUGCUACUUUGACGUUACCGACAGAAUAAGCACCGGCUAACUUCGUGCCAGCAGCCGCGGUAAUACGAAGGGUGCAAGCGUUAAUCGGAAUUACUGGGCGUAAAGCGCGCGUAGGUGGUUCAGUAAGUUGGAAGUGAAAUCCCCGGGCUCAACCUGGGAACUGCUUUCAAAACUGCUGAGCUAGAGUACGGUAGAGGGUGGUGGAAUUUCCUGUGUAGCGGUGAAAUGCGUAGAUAUAGGAAGGAACACCAGUGGCGAAGGCGACCACCUGGACUGAUACUGACACUGAGGUGCGAAAGCGUGGGGAGCAAACAGGAUUAGAUACCCUGGUAGUCCACGCCGUAAA
rnacentral:rRNA from 1 species